UUACGGACAUAUCAUGUUGAAACACUGGUUCUCGUACGAGCUCCGAAGUUAAGCAACGUCGAGCCUGGUGAAUACCUAGAUGGAUGCCCGCUUGGGAAUAC